AUCGUGGAAUUCGCCGCAGCGCGCCGGGCCUGGGCGGGGCUGGGGGCGGGUGGCAGGUCUGCAGGGGGCUGCGUUCCCCCGGGGAGCUCGGUUCGGAAGGUGCUUGCUGGGGUCGCAGGGGCUGGGUUCCACCCGGGGCAGCUGGGUCCGCAGGGGGCUGGGUGCCGGGGGUGGAGGUCGGUUCGGAAACUGCUGGUCUGCAGGGGGCUGGGUUCCGAAGUGCUUGGUCCCAGCGGUGCCGGGUUUCAGGGGGUGGAGCUGGGUUCCGAAGGUGUUGGGUCUGCAGGGGACUAGGUUCGACCCGGUGGAGCCCGGUUCCGAAGGUGCUGGUUUGCAGGGGACUGGGUUCGACCCGGUCGGGUUAGGUUCGGAAGGUGCUGGGCCCGCAGGGGGCUGGGUUCGGACCCGGGGGGCUUGGCCCUGAGGGGCGGUGCUAGGUCCGGGCGGGGCGGGAUGGGCGUGGGCAGCAAGACUGGCGGAGGGAAGAACCGGAGCGCGGGAGUCCGCAGGUGCUGACCUCUGCAGCAGGGCCUGUGCCCCCUAGUCGCCUCGCCUGGGUUCCCGCGGGCGUCUGUGGGUCUCUAAGGCAUCCCUUCCAGGGUGAUACCCUUUUUGUGGGAGUCCAAUCAGAGCGAACCUUUUGGGCGGUAAAUUAUCAUGCUGUGGGCGUGUUUCAAAGAUGAGGUUCCUGAAGCCCUCCAGUGUCUGGAGGCAGCCCUGUCCUUGGCUGUCCUGUGUCCUGGGAGUCCCAGCACUGCGGUCCGCCUGCCUCUGCUCUGCGUGCCGGGCUGCCUGGCUCCCUUUGUGCGCAUCCACUCAGAGACUACAUCUUCUGCCAGACAACUUGUAUCUACAGACGCAGGUAGCAGGCUCUGCAAAGUUACAGUAACAGAGGGGAAGAGUCACCGCACCGGCCUUUUUCCUGCAGGGGGAAUGCCAGCUCACCUCUCAGUACACGUGGAGGCCUCAUUAACUUUGCUAGCAAGGUUUCUCAAUUUAAGGCAAGAGGAGAAUCCCAUCAUCCCUGCUGGGCUUUGUCUCCCGCUUUCCUUUUCCACUGCUCUAGUACAGUCCAGCUGCGUACAGAGGCUCUUCGGCGCAGAAGCCUGAGUGAACAUCACGUGUCAACACGGCUCAGAAGCGUGUCGCUAGGUUCCACAUGCCCUGCGAGUCAUCAGCCACCGUGUCAGCCAAGUUGCCACUGUAAGAGCUUGAUUGCUCAUGAAGCUGUUACCAGGAACAACUUCGCUCCUUCUCUCGUAAAGAUCUAUGCCAUUUGCAAAGCUGGUGAGUAGACUGCUGGUGUCCAAAGUAAGUAUGCGUGGUAUUGCUAGAGAAAAUUCAGCAUUGCUAGAAAAUAAGUACAAGUUCCCUGCAGUAUUUUUGUCAUAAAACAUGGCACACAGGGAAUGCCUACAGUAUGAUGCAGGACACACAGAAGGCUCUUAAACAAUGUUAUUAUUAUAGUCUCUAUUAUAAUAAUAGUUAUUAUUAUAGUUUUCCUAGUCUCAUUAAAAAUCUCCAUUUGUGUUACAUGUGAGCGGUAAAUUGAUAUCCAAACUACAAUUCAUAGUAGAUCCCAACCACCAUUAGUUUAUUGACAAAGGUUUAAAAGCAACCCAGAAUCCAAAGAAUACCUUUCAUUUCUAAAUCACGAAGAACUGGUAUAUGUUUAGGCCAUGAAAAUGUCCAGGCUGACAUUCUUCCACUGUCAGUGUUCAAGAUCUCAAGAUAACAUACUGAUCCCUCUGUUAAUUUUGAUUCCACAUUAUACAGAUAAUUAGACACGAUCUUCUAUUUUCACUGUACUGCUGAGUACUGAUACAUUUAAGAAAUCAGAUUUAAGUGCUACUCAAGAAAUGCUGUAUAAAAAUAAAUUCAUGUGGGAGUUAUUAUUCA
rnacentral:lncRNA from 12 species